rnacentral:rRNA from 1 species
AAAUUGAAGAGUUUGAUCAUGGCUCAGAUUGAACGCUGGCGGCAGGCCUAACACAUGCAAGUCGAACGGUAACAGGAAGCAGCUUGCUGCUUUGCUGACGAGUGGCGGACGGGUGAGUAAUGUCUGGGAAACUGCCUGAUGGAGGGGGAGUAACUACUGGAAACGGUGGCUAAUACCGCAUAACGUCGCAAGAC